CUUAAAGGGGCCGGCGCUCUACCUAGCGAAGCCACCCAUCCCUGGUAGUGGAGAGGCUUGGGACUAGAGGAUGGGAUUCGGCCUCAUACUCUGCACUGUUGUGUGAGCCGCACAACCCCAAAGACCAGGGCUGUGUCCCAAGGUCCCCCGCCUCGGGCGGCCGCGGUGGCGGCGGCGACGAGGCUUCUCCUAGAGGCGUCUCGGCGCAACCCCGCCCCCUCGACCCAGGGGCUGACUCCAGGCCCAGCCCCGACACCGAAGGCUUUCUUUCCGCAGCCUCGCUGGAGCCUGCUGUCUGCUCCCUGCAGAAGUCCUGACGGCGGCGUACCCCGGGAGACGCCGGCAGCCCCGAGAAGCCAGCCGCCGCCGUCAUUCCAGUCAGAAAAAUGGCCUGCGGGGCACGCGCCGGUGCGCCCUGCCAACCAUGUCCGGACUUUGGACUUUGGACAGGAAGGCGUCCCGGCUCAGCUGUGGUCUGAUCAGAGUUUAACCUGUCCCACGCAAGAGAACCUCGAUCGGGUUUCCUCGCUUACCUGAGUCACCUGGGCACUUGUUAGGCCCAGCUGUCUUCAGUUCCAUUAGCGGCCAGUUACCCAAAUGCUAAAUCAAAUCCCCGUGGACCUUGGCCUGGCGCGGCGCGUGCUGUUUUCCUCCGAGAGGAGGAGCUAAAAGUAGCACCUUGCCUUCUAAAUUUAGGACCCUAUUUUUAGGACCGUCGAAUAAAGUGCCAAGUGCUGGAUUUGUUCGUAGGAGACGGUUUUAGCUGACGUAGGUGUAAAGGAUAACCCAUCUCAUACAUAUGUCUUCCUUGCCAGCAUAAUCAUUCUCAUAUUCUGCCUUCUCACUCAAGUACUUUGGUGAAGCAACUCAAAAAGGAGCAGAUACUUCCUCCUAAACAAAUCACCCAAAAGAACUCAAUAGAUGAACAAAAUCUUAAAUCCUUAGGAAAUUUUCCUGAUGUAACCUCUUGUAGCAACGAAUUGUUAUGCCAUUUAAAAAAUCAAAAACGGGCCCAAGUUCACAGCAAGUGAUUUUUCAGGACCAAAAUGCGGCCUAGCUUUUCAGAACUCAGAUUGCUAUUUCUCCUUUGCCACAUCAGCCUGAGGAGUUUCAGGAAAUGCUAAUAUCAGAGUAGCCGAAAUUGCUUAGUAAUUCUCCAUUGUUAAGGUAUAAGGUAUUACACAACUUUCAUACGUGUUAGACAGUGUGUAUUAAAAUUACAUUAUGUGAAUGGUUUAUUAAAGUCAAAACAAGCAUAAUCAAACUUUUUAGAAUUUCACAGACUCCUAGAACAAUGUGUAUGCCUCAAUUAGAACAUUGUAUUACUCAGUAAAAAUUCUUCAAUGUGUCUGAA
rnacentral:antisense_RNA from 1 species